UAGUACAGGAUGUAAACUCGGAGAAUUAAAAAAUUUGAACUAUCUUUCAGGGAGUCUAAAAAUAAGAGGGCUUGGGAAUGUGGUAGAUGCAUGUGAGGCAAAGAAUGCACAGCUCAAUAAGAAAAUAGGCCUCCAUACUCUAGAUCUAAAUUUUCACAGAGAGAAUGAUAUGAGAAUGGGGAAUGAUGAUGAAUUAGUUCUGAAUGCUUUAGAGACACCUCCAGAGUUAGAGAAAUUAUCAAUUUUUUGGUAUGAGGGCACCACAAUUUCUUUUAAUUCGACGAUGCUCUUGACCAAAUUGAAAACGCUUUAUCUCGAAGGCUGCAUAAAGUUAGAGUCAUUGUCUUCUCUAUGGAAACUGACAUUCCUUGAAUUAUUAACGAUAACGAAUGCACAUAGCUUGAAAAAGGUCGGUGUAGAAUUUUUGGGAAUAGAAUCUGAAAACAAGAAAGACAACAAAAUAAAAAUAUUCCCAAAUUUGAAAUAUCUAUGCUUUAUGGAAUUGUACGAGUGGGAAGAAUGGACUGGAAAGGAAGGGAUGAGAGAAGCAGGGGAAAACGAGGAAGACUGUUUUGAUAUAAUGCCAUGUCUUGAAGAGUUAAUAAUUCUAUGGUGCCCAAAGUUAAACUCGUUGCCGAACUUCCUUGGUUCAACUGGAUUGAAGAAAUUGGAGAUCCAAGGCAAUCAAAUUCUCAGCGAAAGAGGACUGACCCAAGAUUUCCCAUAUCCCAGGAAUCAAGAUUAACUAAGUAUGUGCAAGGACACGGAUCAGAGUAUUACGAAGACGAGUAUGACAAAGAAUUGGAUGCUGGAAAAGUUCAUUCUCUACUUGAUUUAACGUAGCAAGUCUGAUCCAGUCACAGGAGAGUGAUGAAUACAAAGGCGUGCAGAUUUCUUGUCUUAGUGAUUGAAGAGUUUCAUGACAAGGAAGAGGGGGAGGAGGAGGAUGUUACUAGUUACCACUAGGUGUGGAGGGAUUCAUAUGAGAAAUGCUUGCUUUUCCUUUUACCAUUGGUAGUUUCCCAAUUUGGAAUGACAUUCAAAAAUGGAAACAACUGAAUUAGUCACCAAUAUGUGCAAGGUAAAAAGAAGAAGAAGGCAAUGAAGCCAUACUACUAUUAUUUGUUCUGGGCUGUUCAAUUCUGAUUCACCAAUAGUUUCCCAAUUUGGAAUGACAUUCAAACAUGGACAUACCUGAUUUGUCACCAAUAUGUACGAGGGAAAAAAAGGAGGCAAUGAAGCCAUAUUAUAUUACAAUUGUUCACUCCGGUAGUGUUUCAUGGCAUGGAAUAGUGCAAAGUGGGGGAAGCAACCACCAGUAGAUAUGAAGAUAUUACAAAUACUUUGGAUCAAGUUUAUCUCAAAACUAUGGUCCAUAUGCGUAAGCUCAGCUUGCUUAAGAGGGAAUGGUUAUGCAAAUGACUGAAAUUUUAUUUUAUGGCACCAUAAUUCGGAGAACAGGAGGUGUUGGUGGCACCUUUGAAACUGUUUACAGCAUUCAGGAUUCAGUAAUCUACUAAAAAGCUUCCCUGCCUUUGUCUAAACUUAUUGGAGAAGGGUAGUUUAUGCCUCCUUUGGGGAAGCUUCCAUUGCUCAAAUCAUUAACAAUAAAGUUCUCUUAUGGUUUGAAAAAGGCGGGUGUUGAAUUUCUCGGAAUAGAAUCCAAAAACAAGAAAGAUGACAUACUAUUCCCAAAUUUUAAAACUCUCUUGUUUGUCAAUUUGGGUGAGUGGGAAGAAUGGAUUGGGAUUGGAGAAAUGAAGGCAGCAGAGGAACACUGGCGUAGCACUAUCAUGCCAUGGCUUCAAGUGUUGAGAAUCUCCAACUGCCCGAAGUUAAAGUCACUACUGGACUUCCUUUGUACAACUCCGUUGAAGGAUUUGGAGAUUGAUCGCAGUCCGAUUCUCAGCCAAAGUUGCCAAAGAGGGAUAGGAGAGGAUUGGCUUAAGAUUUCCCACAUCCCAAACAUCCAGAUUGAUUUUGAGCAUGUGUAAGGAUACGAUUCAUUGACAGCUCUCUUAGUAGCUCAAUGGCUUGGAUACUUGUUACAAGUAUGGAAGCUUAGGUGUGAGUUCUGGUGAGAGAAGAGAGCGAAGAUUUUCUUCUGGGCAUGUAGACGGAGGAUGACAAAGAAGAGUAUGGUGAAGAAGAGCAUCACGAAGCUGAGGUUUCUGAAUUUCAGCUAAAGGACACAGCUGAAAUUGUGUGUGUACGCAUGCAUGUGAAUGAACAUCCUUCCUCAGCAAAGUUCAUUCUCGGCGUGAUUAAGUCACCAAUGGUUCAAUCUUAUGCACUCUUUUGUGUUUGGCUUGGCUCCAGGUGGUUCCAUCCAUUAAGGUUGGAGUCUGACAGCCUAAAUACGGACAGGUAGUUAUUUGAAAGGUGAACGAAGUGGUAGUGUUAGAGUGUAAAUAAUCUCCAAUCAGCUAGUGGUGAAUGCAUGCUUAAUUGGGUUCAUAUACCUUGUCGAUUCUCCUUAACGGUUCAUGCUUAAUUGGGUUCGAGAAGGGUCUUAGCUAUCUGAGAUUAAGGGAUUAAGCUUGGGAAGGAGAAGGACCAAUUACAUGGCGUAAUAAAAUGCCAAAAGGAGUAGUUUUUUUCUCUGGACUACAUAGCAAACUUCGCUUCUUGUUUACUAAGGAAUUAAGCAUCUUCUGGUUGACAUAUGAUCUUGUCUGAGAAAGACAAAUAAUAUAUUCCACAUGGAAUAUAAUGCCAAAACUCAAUUAGUAGUCUACUUAGGUUAGGUAAUAUGUCGUGCUUUUUCUCAGUUUCUGGAUUAAGUGGUAAA